AACGCUGGCGGCAGGCUUAACACAUGCAAGUCGAGCGGGGAAAGGUAGCUUACUACCUAACCUAGCGGCGGACGGGUGAGUAAUGCUUAGGAAUCUGCCUAUUAGGGGGGGACAACAUUCCGAAAGGAAUGCUAAUACCGCAUACCCCCUACGGGGGAAAGCAGGGGAUCUUCGGACCUUGCGCUAAUAGAUGAGCCUAAGUCAGAUUAGCUAGUUGGGGGGGUAAAGGCCUACCAAGGCGACGAUCUGUAGCGGGUCUGAGAGGAUGAUCCGCCACACUGGGACUGAGACACGGCCCACACUCCUACGGGAGGCAGCAGUGGGGAAUAUUGGACAAUGGGCGAAAGCCUGAUCCAGCCAUGCCGCGUGUGUGAAGAAGGCCUUUUGGUUGUAAAGCACUUUAAGCGAGGAGGAGGCUACUUAGAUUAAUACUCUAGGAUAGUGGACGUUACUCGCAAAAUAAGCACCGGCUAACUCUGUGCCAGCAGCCGCGGUAAUACAGAGGGUGCGAGCGUUAAUCGGAUUUACUGGGCGUAAAGCGUGCGUAGGCGGCUUUUUAAGUCGGAUGUGGAAUCCCUGAGCUUAACUUAGGAAUUGCAUUCGAUACUGGGAAGCUAGAGUAUGGGGAGAGGAUGGUAGAAUUCCAGGUGUAGCGGUGAAAUGC
rnacentral:rRNA from 1 species